UACGUAGGGUGCAAGCGUUGUCCGGAAUUAUUGGGCGUAAAGCGCGUGUAGGCGGUCACGCAAGUCAGGUGUGAAAGCCCUGGGCUCAACCCAGGAAGUGCACAUGAUACUACGUGGCUGGAGUAUUGAAGAGGAGAGCGGAAUUCCCGGUGUAGAGGUGAAAUUCGUAGAUAUCUGGAGGAACACCGGUGGCGAAGGCGGCAUCCUGGACCGGCAUUGACGCUGAGGCGCGAAAGCCAGGGGAGCAAACAGG
rnacentral:rRNA from 1 species